GGAGAUAUAGCUCAGUGGUAGAGUGGUCGCUUCGCAUGUGAGAGCCCAUAGGUUCAUUCCCCGGCAUCUCCA